GCAUAUCAUAAGCGGAGGAAAAGAAACCAACAGGGAUUGCCCCAGUAACGGCGAGUGAAGCGGCAAGAGCUCAAAUUUGAAAGCUGGCUCCUUCGGGGUCCGCAUUGUAAUUUGUAGAGGAUGCUUCGGGAGCGGUCCCCAUCUAAGUGCCCUGGAACGGGACGUCAUAGAGGGUGAGAAUCCCGUAUGGGAUGGGGUGUCCGCGCCCGUGUGAAGCUCCUUCGACGAGUCGAGUUGUUUGGGAAUGCAGCUCUAAAUGGGUGGUAAAUUUCAUCUAAAGCUAAAUAUUGGCCGGAGACCGAUAGCGCACAAGUAGAGUGAUCGAAAGAUGAAAAGCACUUUGAAAAGAGAGUUAAAAAGCACGUGAAAUUGUUGAAAGGGAAGCGCUUGCGACCAGACUCGCUCGCGGGGUUCAGCCGGCAUUCGUGCCGGUGUACUUCCCCGCGGGCGGGCCAGCGUCGGUUUGGGCGGUCGGUCAAAGGCCCUCGGAAGGUAACGCCCCUAGGGGCGUCUUAUAGCCGAGGGUGCAAUGCGACCUGCCUAGACCGAGGAACGCGCUUCGGCUCGGACGCUGGCAUAAUGGUCGUAAACGACCCGUCUUGAAACACGGACCAAGGAGUCUAACAUCUACGCGAGUGUUCGGGUGUCAAACCCGUGCGCGAAGUGAAAGCGAACGGAGGUGGGAACCCUCACGGGUGCACCAUCGACCGAUCCUGAAGUCUUCGGAUGGAUUUGAGUAAGAGCGUAGCUGUUGGGACCCGAAAGAUGGUGAACUAUGCCUGAAUAGGGCGAAGCCAGAGGAAAACUCUGGUGGAGGCUCGUAGCGGUUUCUGACGUGCAAAUCGAUUCGUCGAAAUUUGGGUAAUAGGGGGCGAAAGACUAAUCGAACCAUCUGGUAGCUGGGUCUGUG
rnacentral:rRNA from 1 species